rnacentral:rRNA from 1 species
AAUGGACGAAAGUCUGACGGAGCAACGCCGCGUGAGUGAUGAAGGCUUUCGGGUCGUAAAACUCUGUUGUUAGGGAAGAAAAGUACGAGAGUAACUGCUCGUACCUUGACGGUACCUAACCAGAAAGCCACGGCUAACUACGUGCCAGCAGCCGCGGUAAUACGUAGGUGGCAAGCGUUAUCCGGAAUUAUUGGGCGUAAAGCGCGCGCAGGCGGUUUCUUAAGUCUGAUGUGAAAGCCCACGGCUCAACCGUGGAGGGCAUUGGAAACUGGGGAACCUGAGUGCAGAAGAGAAAAGCGGAAUUCCACGUGUAGCGGUGAAAUGCGUAGAGAUGUGGAGGAACACCAGUGGCGAAGGCGGCUUUUUGGUCUGUAACUGACGCUGAGGCGCGAAAGCGUGGGGAGCAAACAGGAUU